GUGCUCUCUUCGGCAGCGCAUAUACUAAAAUUGGAGCGAUACAGAGAAGAUUAGUAUGGCCCCCGUGCAAGGAUGACAUGCAAAUUUGUGAAGCGUUCCAUAUUUUU
ensembl:snRNA U6 U6 spliceosomal RNA